rnacentral:rRNA from 1 species
GAUCAUGGCUCAGGAUGAACGCUAGCUACAGGCUUAACACAUGCAAGUCGAGGGGCAGCAUAUUUCUAGCAAUAGAGAUGAUGGCGACCGGCGCACGGGUGAGUAACACGUAUCCAACCUGCCUUGUACUCGGGGAUAGCCUUUCGAAAGAAAGAUUAAUACCCGAUGUUAUAGUCUAACCGCAUGAUUUGACUAUAAAAGAUUUUCGGUAUAAGAUGGGGAUGCGUUCCAUUAG